AGUCGAUCCAAGCUCCGACGUUUGGAAACAUCUAAUAUUAAAUGUUAAAUCAUAAAAUAUACAUAAUAGUAUAGGUACUUACCCAUAUAUACGUAGUCUCAAUCAUAUUGACAUUAUGAUCCAUGCAUGGUGCAGAUCACGCCCGAAAAUAGUUAACUAAUUUUUUUUUUUUAUGUUUUAGUAGUAUGAAUUUGAAUUACCAUUCAAAAUCGUAAGUAUAUUUUAUGAUUUAUUUUUUACGGUUUAUUUAGUAGGUAUAAAUUAAAUAACUAAUUUUAAUAGUAUAAUUAAUGAACAAAAUUUUAAUGAAAAUGAUAAUAAAAUAUAAAUUAUUAUAUUUAGAUUAUUUUUUAGAUUCUGAGUGUAGCGCAAAAGAGCAAUUAAUUGACAUACUAUGUUUUUCCUUGAAAAACACAUUUUUGUUAAUAAAUAUGCUCCGAAUUUUUAUGUCAAACCUUAAAAGAUAUGAAUUUUUCGCCUGAUAGUACUUUAUUUAAAAUAUUUAUCGAUAUUUUCAAUAGUCUAAACCUCUACUUUCAUAUUUUUGUUUUUACAUUUUAGUUGAUUUCUGGAUUCCCUAUUGGCAACAGGGGAAAAAAACCAUCAAAACUACUCUGCUCAUAGUUGUUUUUCGUAUAAAGCGAUAUAUUUUUUUAUACAGUAUAUAAUCUAAAUUACUUGUCCUGUAUAUCUUACCUACCAAAAUUCCAAAAUGUUCCUGAUUACACUGACAUCAGUGAGGAAUCUAUUUUCACAAUACUUUUCCACCGUAAAAUAAAACUUAGUUAAUAUAUUAUGCUAUCGACCUAUCGUAGUUAUCCAUAUUUUAAUGUUCAUAUAUUUUUCAUUUAUAAGUAGAUAAUUAAUAAAUUAAUAAAUUAGGUAAUUAAUAAAAAUAAUUAAGUAUAUUGUAUACUUAGUAACCUAAUUAUUUUCAUUCAAUUAUAAGUACUAAUAUCUAGGGAACGAAUUUAUAUGCACUUAAAAUGCACAAAAAACAAAUGAAAAUGUUAAAAAAGCAUUGAAAAAAAUAUUUAAAGAAGCAAAAAUGGUAGAAGGGUUUAAGAGACUUCCGCGAAUAGCUCUAAGAAUUAGAGUCUAAAUUAUUAAAUAUAAUUUUCUAUCACUAGAAAAAUGAUUAACACUGAGUAAUUUUUUUUUUUUACGUAUUAUAAAAAGAAUGAUUUUAUAUUAAUCAUUUAUACAGGGUCAGAAUAUUUUAUUUUGUAAUAAAUUCGACAGGGAACUUUUAAAAUCCCUCUACCAUUUUUUCUUUUUUUUAAAUGCUUUUUUGACAUAUAAAUCCUUCACUUACUAAUAUCGAAUUAAUGCUACAGUGUUUCUAAUCUCUAAUAUUUAUAUUAUUAUAUUACAUUAAGUAUAGUGUAUUGAAUAUAGGUACUUAUUAUCAAUUGAUUUGCAUCUGGUAUUUUGAAAAACUUGUUUAGUUAUUCCUACACACAGUUGUUAUAUAACUUUUAUAUUAUGUACCUAUAUAAUAUUAUCACACUGCAAUGAUUUAUAAUAUUUUAUGUACAUCAAUUUAAAUAGAAACAGCUCAUCAUAUUAUUUUAAUAUUUUAUACAAUUCAUCAUCAUCAAUUGACAAUUAGACGCACAGUUCUUAAAUUCUUAGACGUAUUCAAAAUAUUGUUUUCUUGGGUGUCAAUAUAAAAUUAUUUUUUUUUUUUAUUAUUAAUUAUACAAACAAAUUCUAAAAAUAAUAAAAUAAAAACUUCGUACACUAAACUGACUAGGCCACUUUAUAGUGGUCAACAAUAAAGACUGCGGUAGGUAUUUUGAAAUUUAUUGAAAUGAUAAAUCACUGUUUGAAAAAAUUAUUAGAAUCAUCCUAAAAUGAAAAUUUAAACUUUCGCAUGCAUUUUUGCCCACCAUAUUUUAUUGGGAAAAUAACCUCUUUUAACUUUUAAUUUUUUUUAAAUAUAUUAUAAUAAGGUUAUAUUUUUGUAUAUUUAGAUAGGUAACUAAUUAAAAUAUAUGUUAUAUAUACCUAUUCGUUUGUAUUGUACAUACUUAAAUGUUGUAAAAUUAAUGUACGGUAGGUAUAGAUACUUGUCUUAUAAGUAUCUCUACCUACCACUUUAAUCAUAAAAUAAACGUAAGAAUAAAAAUAAUUAACCUACUAAAAAUAUUAUUGUUCGUGUCCAGCGUCUAGGUUAUAAUGAUUAUUAUUUCAACAAUGCAUAUCCUGUUCCUAAGUACUAGUGCCGCGGGAGUGAUAUCCCUAUUUGUAUCUCCUGCAGCUCAAGUGCUUAUCAACGGGAAAAAGCACAUCAACCCUACACAUAUAUAAUAUAGUAUUUGUAUUUCAAUGUAUAAGAGAUAAUGUAUAAUGUAUAAUAAAUAUAAUGUUCAUUUUAAUAUGUAUAAUAAUAUAUUAUAUGCACCUAUCUAUAUUUAUAUUUUACACAUUUUACAAUGUAUUUUAUUUAUAAAUCUGUUAUUGUUCUAUUAAUCACAUAGCACCUAUUAUAAAUAAAUAAAGUAUUAAAUAUUUAUUAUACUUAAUAUUGACAUUAUAAUUAGACAUUUUAAAAAUGGUAGGACCGAAACCACCUUUUUCGCUGAAAUAAUUUCGUCAAUGAACCGAUUCACCACAACCAAUUCGCCACCAACUGUUUCGCCGCCAACCUUUUUGCUAAGAGACUGAUUCAUCACCAAUAGAUUUGCUUAUGGACCAAAUUGCCGCCGACUCUUUUACCGAUGGACACUUAUUGAUACAUAUUGACGCAUGCAUAUAAAAUAUUUUACAUUAUGAGCCGAGUGGUUUUGCACGUGCGAAACAAAUGUCUUUUUCAUAAACAUUUUAGUUCAUACCACCAUGAUGCUCAAUAGAUAUCCUGGUACUCUUGUGCUAAAUUAAUGAAACAGGUCUACAUGUAGGUAUAAAUGUAUUUAAAAUUAUAAUCUUCUAUGUACAUAUCUACUUAGUAUUAUGAUUUGUUUUGUCUGUCCUAUACGUAUAAUAUAGCAACAAAGACU